CCUACGGGAGACUGCAGUGGGGAAUAUUGCACAAUGGGGGAAACCCUGAUGCAGCAACGCCGCGUGAGCGAAGAAGUAUUUCGGUAUGUAAAGCCCUAUCAGCAGGGCAGAGAAUGACGGUACCUGACUAAGAAGCCCCGGCUAACUACGUGCCAGCAGCCGCGGUAAUACGGAGGGGGCAAGCGUUAUCCGGAUUUACUGGGUGUAAAGGGUUCGUAGACGGCUGGCCAAGUCUGAUGUGAAAGCCCGGGGCUUAACUCCGGUACGGCAUUGGAAACUGGCCGGCUGGAGUGCGGGAGAGGCAGAGGGAAUUCCUGGUGUAGCGGUGAAAUGCGUAGAUAUCAGGAGGAACACCGGUGGCGAAGGCGGCCUGCUGGACAGUAACUGACGUUGAGGCUCGAAAGCGUGGGGAGCAAACGGGAUUAGAUACCCCUGUAGUC
rnacentral:rRNA from 1 species